rnacentral:rRNA from 1 species
AACGAACGCUGGCGGCGUGCUUAACACAUGCAAGUCGAACGGAAAAACCUCUUUCGGUGGUUACUCGAGUGGCGAACGGGUGAGUAACACGUAGGUAACCGGCCCGUGGCGUGGGGAUAACUUCAGGAAACUGGGGCUAAUACCGAAUAGGAGCUCCUGCGGCAUUGUGGGGGUUUCAAAGUUUCUGCUGUUGGGUGUGGACUGGCGGCUUAUCAGCUUGUGGGUGGGGUAGUGCCUUACCAAGGCUUUUACGGGUAGCCGGACUGAGAGAGUGACAGGCCACAUAGGGACUGAGAGACGGCAGCGACUCCGACGGGAGGCAGCAGGGGGGAAUACUGCACAAUGGGUGGAAGGUGGAUGCAGCAAGUCCGCGUGCGGGAUGACGGCUUUAGUGUUGUAAAACGGUAGCGCUCAUGAAGAAGCUUUGCGUGACGGUAGUGGGUAAAGAAGCACCGGCUAACUACGUG